UACGGAGGGUGCAAGCGUUGUUCGGAUUCACUGGGCGUAAAGGGUGCGUAGGCGGCCAAGUAAGUUUGAUGUGAAAUCCCGCAGCUCAACUGCGGAACUGCAUUGAAUACUAUUUGGCUCGAGGAAUGGAGGGGAGACUGGAAUUCUCGGUGUAGCAGUGAAAUGCGUAGAUAUCGAGAGGAACACCAGUGGCGAAGGCGAGUCUCUGGACAUUUCCUGACGCUCAGGCACGAAAGCCAGGGGAGCAAACGGG
rnacentral:rRNA from 1 species